GGACAAAACAAAGGCUUAGAGGUGACUUCCCCAAGAUCACACAAACAGGGAGUGGCUGAGGCAGAAUUCCAACCUGUGCUCGUAUCCAUGGUAACACACUCCCUGCCCCCAACACAGCCUGUGCCCUGGAGGAAUGGACAGAUCAGUGGGGAAGCCUUAGGGACUGGCACUAAGGACUCCAUCCGAGGACACUGGGAUCAACACCCGAGCCGAAGGCUGACACCUAACCGACUGAGCCACCCAGGCAUCCCCUUGAAGUGCAUUUUAAACAAGCUUCCAUGUCCAACACCAGAAUAA
rnacentral:lncRNA from 1 species